rnacentral:rRNA from 1 species
CCUACGGGGUGCAGCAGUGGGGAAUAUUGCGCAAUGGGCGAAAGCCUGACGCAGCGACGCCGCGUGAGGGAUGAAGGUCUUCGGAUCGUAAACCUCUGUCAGCAGGGAAGAACGGUCACUGUGCUAAUCAGCAGUGAAUUGACGGUACCUGCAAAGGAAGCACCGGCUAACUCCGUGCCAGCAGCCGCGGUAAUACGGAGGGUGCGAGCGUUAAUCGGAAUUACUGGGCGUAAAGCGCUCGUAGGCGGUAUGUCAAGUCAAGGGUGAAAUCCCCGCGCUCAACGUGGGAACUGCCUUUGAACAUGGCAAACUGGAGUGUGUGAGAGGAUAGUGGAAUUCCAGGUGUAGGAGUGAAAUGCGUAGAUAUCUGGAGGAACAUCAGUGGCGAAGGCGACUAUCUGGCACAUAACUGACGCUGAGGAGCGAAAGCGUGGGUAGCAAACAGGAUUAGAUACCCGGGUAGUC